AGUGAACGCUGGCGGUAGGCCUAACACAUGCAAGUCGAACGGCAGCACAGUAAGAGCUUGCUCUUACGGGUGGCGAGUGGCGGACGGGUGAGGAAUACAUCGGAAUCUACUUUUUCGUGGGGGAUAACGUAGGGAAACUUACGCUAAUACCGCAUACGACCUACGGGUGAAAGCAGGGGAUCUUCGGACCUUGCGCGAUUGAAUGAGCCGAUGUCGGAUUAGCUAGUUGGCGGGGUAAAGGCCCACCAAGGCGACGAUCCGUAGCUGGUCUGAGAGGAUGAUCACCCACACGGGAACGAAACCACGGCCCAGACUCCUGGGGGAGGCAGCAGUGGGGAUUAUGGAACAAGGGGCGCAGGCCUGACCCCCCCAUCCCGCGGGGGGAAAAAAGCCCUUCGGUUUGUACACCCUUUUUUUGGGAAAAAAAAAGCAGCAGGUUAAUCCCCCGCUGUUCUGAGGUACCAAAAAAAAUAGACCCCGACAAGCUUCGUC
rnacentral:rRNA from 1 species